rnacentral:rRNA from 1 species
ACUCCUACGGGAGGCAGCAGUGGGGAAUAUUGCACAAUGGGGAAACCCUGAUGCAGCCAUGCCGCGUGUGUGAAGAAGGCCUCGGUUGUAAAGCACUUUCAGUAGGGAGGAAGGUAGUGUAGUUAACACCUGCAUUAUUUGACGUUACCUACAGAAGAAGCACCGGCUAACUCCGUGCCAGCAGCCGCGGUAAUACGGAGGGGUGCGAGCGUUAAUCGGAAUUACUGGGCGUAAAGCGCAUGCAGGCGGCCUGUUAAGUCAGAUGUGAAAGCCCGGGGGCUUAACCUCGGAAUUGCAUUUGAAACUGGCAGGCUAGAGUCUUGUAGAGGGGGUAGAAUUUCAGGUGUAGCGGUGAAAUGCGUAGAGAUCUGAAGGAAUACCAGUGGCGAAGGCGGCCCCCUGGACAAAGACUGACGCUCAGAUGCGAAAGCGUGGGGAGCAAACAGGAUUAGAUACCCUGGUAGGAUAGCG